UAGGGAAUCUUCGGCAAUGGACGGAAGUCUGACCGAGCAACGCCGCGUGAGUGAAGAAGGUUUUCGGAUCGUAAAGCUCUGUUGUAAGAGAAGAACGAGUGUGAGAGUGGAAAGUUCACACUGUGACGGUAACUUACCAGAAAGGGACGGCUAACUACGUGCCAGCAGCCGCGGUAAUACGUAGGUCCCGAGCGUUAUCCGGAUUUAUUGGGCGUAAAGCGAGCGCAGGCGGUUAGAUAAGUCUGAAGUUAAAGGCUGUGGCUUAACCAUAGUACGCUUUGGAAACUGUUUAACUUGAGUGCAGAAGGGGAGAGUGGAAUUCCAUGUGUAGCGGUGAAAUGCGUAGAUAUAUGGAGGAACACCGGUGGCGAAAGCGGCUCUCUGGUCUGUAACUGACGCUGAGGCUCGAAAGCGUGGGGAGCAAACAGGAUUAGAUACCCUGGUAGUCCACGCCGUAAACGAUGAGUGCUAGGUGUUAGACCCUUUCCGGGGUUUAGUGCCGUAGCUAACGCAUUAAGCACUCCGCCUGGGGAGUACGACCGCAAGGUUG
rnacentral:rRNA from 1 species